GAUGAAGAACGUAGCGAAAUGCGAUAAGUAAUGUGAAUUGCAGAAUUCAGUGAAUCAUCGAAUCUUUGAACGCACAUUGCGCCCGCCAGUAUUCUGGCGGGCAUGCCUGUUCGAGCGUCAUUACAACCCUCAGGCCCCCGGGCCUGGCGUUGGGGAUCGGCGGAGCCCCCCGUGGGCACACGCCGUCCCCCAAAUGCAGUGGCGGUCCCGCCGCAGCUUCCAUCGCGUAGUAGCUAACACCUCGCGACUGGAGAGCGGCGCGGCCACGCCGUAAAACACCCAACUCUUCUGAAGUUGACCUCGAAUCAGGUAGGAAUACCCGCUGAACUUAGCAUAUCAAUAAGCGGAGGA
rnacentral:misc_RNA from 1 species